GCACAACGCGAAGAACCUUACCUAGGCUUGACAUGCAUCUCUAAGCACGUGAAAGCGUGUGACCCUUCGGGGAAUUUGCACAGGUGCUGCAUGGCCGUCGUCAGCUCGUGUCGUGAGAUGUUGGGUUAAGUCCCGCAACGAGCGCAACCCUUGUGACUAGUUGCCAGCACGUUAUGGUGGGAACUCUAGUCAGACUGCCCAGAUCAACUGGGAGGAAGGUGGGGACGACGUCAGGUCAGUAUGGCCCUUACGCCUAGGGCUGCACACGUACUACAAUGCCCGGCACAAUGAGAACCGAGACCGCGAGGUGGAGGAAAUCUGUAAAACUGGGCCCAGUUCGGAUUGGAGGCUGCAACUCGCCUCCAUGAAGUUGGAAUCGCUAGUAAUGGCGCAUCAGCUACGGCGCCGUGAAUACGUUCCCGGGUCUUGUACACACCG
rnacentral:rRNA from 1 species